UACGUAGGGUGCGAGCGUUGUCCGGAAUUAUUGGGCGUAAAGAGCUUGUAGGCGGUCUGUCGCGUCUGCUGUGAAAAUCCGGGGCUCAACCCCGGACUUGCAGUGGGUACGGGCAGACUAGAGUGUGGUAGGGGAGAUUGGAAUUCCUGGUGUAGCGGUGGAAUGCGCAGAUAUCAGGAGGAACACCGAUGGCGAAGGCAGAUCUCUGGGCCGUAACUGACGCUGAGGAGCGAAAGCAUGGGGAGCGAACAGG
rnacentral:rRNA from 1 species